rnacentral:lncRNA from 1 species
CCCUUCGUGCAUCUUCAGAUUGAAGAGUCUUUUCGACACCUCGAAGCAUGCAGUACGGCUCUGCUCACUAUACAACUCUUGCAAGUGAGUGAUCAUAGCCCUAGCAGUAGGCAUAUUCUCAUGCUAGCUUUGCAACUCAUUUGACAUAGACAUCAGCACGUAACACUUAAUUCGACUGUUUUCAUCCGUUCACAUCCCAAAAGCAACCCUUUGCUCAGUAGUAGGAUGGUUUGGUAGCACUAUGGGUUCCUGAUCGAGUA